CCUACGGGGUGCAGCAGUGAGGAAUAUUGGGCAAUGGACGAGAGUCUGAACCAGCCAAGUAGCGUGAAGGAUGACUGCCCUAUGGGUUGUAAACUUCUUUUAUAUGGGAAUAAACUGUUCCACGUGUGGGAUUUUGUAUGUCCCAUAUGAAUAAGGAUCGGCUAACUCCGUGCCAGCAGCCGCGGUAAUCCGGAGGAUCCGAGCGUUAUCCGGAUUUAUUGGGUUUAAAGGGAGCGUAGGUGGAUUGUUAAGUCAGUUGUGAAAGUCUGCGGCUCAACCGUGAAAUUGCAGUUGAAACUGGUAGUCUUGAGUACAGUAGAGGUGGGCGGAAUUCGUGGUGUAGCGGUGAAAUGCUUAGAUAUCACGAAGAACUCCGAUUGCGAAGGCAGCUCACUGGACUGCAACUGACGCUGAGGCACGAAAGUGUGGGGAUCAAACAGGAUUAGAUACCCGGGUAGUC
rnacentral:rRNA from 1 species